GAGACGAGGGAGGGGAGAGAGUGGAAUAAAGUUUGCAGCGCGCAGGUGACGGGGGUGGGAUUGGCCCCGUCCGGUGGGUUGGCCGCCUAGGGUCGCUUCCCUGCGCUUUAGAACUUGGAAAAAGGCGAGAAUGACCUUUCCUCUACCUAUUGCUUUUUAAGUUUUUUUUCUUUCUCUCUAAAGAAUAUUUAUCUGGCAUUUCCCUUUUUGGGCCUCCUCCACUAAGACCCUGGAAAGUUAGCGUAGUGAGCAUGGGAGGGGGCGAGGUGGAGCCCCCCACGGCGCGCCGCCGCCUCUCCGAGUUUCGCGCGUCUCCGCCGCCUGUGCUGGCCGACAUGGGAAAGCCCGACGACGCGCCGGGAGGCUCAGCUGCCCCAGCCGGCCGACACGCGCCCCUGCGGGGCGGAGCGGCCGGGGCUGCGCCCACCCCGGGCUGGGGGCCGAGCAGGCGGCGGGGGCUCGAGCGCGCCGCCUGGGUGGCUGCGGCUUCGGCAGACAGAGGGUCUCCGCGGGGAGCACAAGCGAGUGCAGCAGCAAGCGGCUUGGGGCUCAUUUCGGGAUGAAGCAAGCGGCUGCCGCUCGGUUUCUGAAACAGAUGGCAGAACCUGCACGUUCGAGACGAUCACUUCAGGGCGAACCUAUUUCGAGAGAGAAAGCUAAAGGAGGGGACCUGAUUAAAACAGGCGGUCUCUUCACAGACCCGCAAAUUAUGGACCCUGGGAACCGUCUUCUCCUUUUACUAUACGUAAAUGGGGAUCUUGCUAAGAAUCUUAAAAGUGUGAUCAUCGGACACUCCCAGCUAUCGGUUGUGGUAUCUGGCAGUAAAAUACCCCCUUCUUUUGAGAGAGGUGUAAAGGUGAGCUUGGAGCUCUGAGGAACAGCCGCUAAUGUGAAAAAGAAGCAUACUGUUGUGAAGAUGUGCUUGUAACACACCCCUGCCCUCUCUAUCUGUCCACGAGAGGAACUUUGGGGCAGCUUCUUCUGCAGAGGAUGUACAAAGAAUCUGGAACAGUCUGCAAGGGUGCCGGAGCUGAGGGGGAAGGGAGAAUAGGAAUCACCUCCAGUCUGGCAAUAGGGACCACGCUGGAAUGACAGCUUGUAAAAGAAGCCUCCAUCAGUCUCCCAGGAGACAGCCGGCCUCAACUUGGGUGUUCCCCGCUUGUUAGCCUCAAUCAUAAUUGGUCUCUCCUCCCAUCCCACGUUGUUGGUUUUCUGUGUGUGGCUUUUGGUGUGAGCGUGUUAGGUCAUCAACAAACACAAUAGCGGGAGGGGGCAAGGGGGGACACACAUGAUUGUUUUAAAGAAGAAAGGAGAAAAAGGAUAAGAGAGUGGGCAGGAAGGCUUUGAACAGAAUGGGGAAGAUGCCCCAGGAUUUAGGCUUCCCGAGGCAACCCCUGGUGUGCUGGGGGUGGGUAGAGUGCUCCCUGGGAGUUUUGUCAAAGGGAGAAGCCCACCAGGAGCUGGGGCCCCUGCUGUGCGCCACUGGGGACACGCAUCUAUUCCGUGCAAUGUCUGUUUGCUGGUCUCUGGAGCUGCCUGUAGCCUCCUGCCCACGUCCCGUGCAUCUCAGCAAAAAGAAUCCCAAUCAGUGUGGCGUGCCCCAGAGAGGGUGUGAGUCUGGGCUGAAGGCCUAAAGAGCAGCCCGGAACCCCAGGCGGGGCAGUGUGUGUGUAGGGGGGACACACCAGCACCUUCCGGUCAGCCUUUCUCCAUUCAUUUUUAAAAUCGUUUCUCCCGCUGGCCCCAUAAUUUUUUUCUCCAUCCUCAUGUUUUCUUUUCUCCUCUUCUCAGAGGAAAACCAGUCCUGGGGGUAGAGGCUAUAAGAACUUUGUGACCUCAGCCUGCUGUAAAGCU